AGGUGGCUGGACACGCAUGGCAGAGAUGGACAGCGUCGAUUGGCUGAGACUGGGGGAGAGCGCGACGUCCGUCAACUCCCCUCGGACCAACCUGGGGUCAGGUAACACGAUAGUCCCACCCAUUCCCGAACCGGGCGGCUACGGAUUGGCUGGGAUUGGGGAGAACGGGGUGUCCAUCAACCACCCACGGACCCGCCAUUGGUCUAUGGGCACGUGAAGAUGACUGGUCUGGGACCCGCCCACGUGAUGAUGCUGCUGCUGCUGAAUGGACAGGUCUCAGAAAAAUGAGCUCAGAACCAUGAGGAUCUUAUGCAAGGGAGGCAUGACAUUGACCAGUCUUGAAGACGGGACGAAACAUCUAAAAGAAGGAUCAGAGACAUCUUUUGUGAGACAGAGCACUGUGAAGAGGAGACCUGAGUUCAGAACAUAGAGACAAAUACAACUUGUUGGAGUGAACCAGCCAGUUCAUCACACAUGGACAAUUCUGAAAUUAGCGGGGCUUGACUGCCAGUGAACUACUUCAGCAAGCUGUGACAGACUGCUUACUUAAUGUCAGUCAUGGGUAAAGUUUAACUUUCUCCAGCUCAACGAUGGGAAGACUGAAGCCAUUACCUUUGAUCCUUACCACAAUUUUUCAAUUCCUUACCGAUACUUUUAAACUCCCUCCUCAUCUUCAAUCGGGCUCAUGGUACCGUUCAACCCUGAGGUGAGCUCCCUAUUCCAAAUC